GUUCUACUAUAUAAACAUCAUCUUAUACAAAUAUGAGUAGUUUAUGAAACAGGUCGUCAAUAAUCGUUUUGUCUCUUUUUUACUAGUACAAAAUUUCAUUUGGUAAAAGAGAUAAAUAUAUAUUUGUUAUUUCUAGUUAUGGCAACAUUUUGUGAUGACGUCACAACAGCUGUAGGUACGUGCCAUUUUUCGCCAUUUUAUGCGCUGUGUUUUGUGGUACUUCUGCUGUCAAGUAGCUGUUUAUGAGAUCGUAUUUUGUGUUUUGCGGAUAAAUUACGAGGAUUUGAUUUGCUAAAUCGAAGUUGAAGUUGAAAAAAGUGUUAUUCAACAUGUCCGUGUAUUGUAUUGUACAGUGUGGAGCCAGAAAGGACAGAAAUCAACCGUAUUUGUCACUUCAUAGGCCAUCUUUCAAUCCAAAAUUGUCGACUGGAUUUACUGAAACAGGUGAUAUUGGAAAACUAAUCCACAGCUGCAACGUCGUCUGUGCUGCCAUUGCCCGUACGUCUGUCUCAUAAGUCAGUACAUGAUAAGUCUGUUCAAGAAGACGCGAUGAAAAAAUUAUAAGAUAGCCAAUUUGAAGAAUAUUAUGGAAGAUCUGCAGAAUAAAAAUCAAAUAAUAAAGGGCAAAGUGUAUUGAUGGAAGAAUUGGCAGGACCGCAAGACUUUUUGAAAAGGCAGGUAAACAAAUUUCAAGGUUUACCUUUGCCAAAGAAGU